AUGAUAAAAAAUCACUAGCUUGUUGUAUUUAGUGACUGACUUAAAGUAUAAUAACAUCUGUUAGAAGUCAAAGUUUCUUCAAACAGAAGUGAGGUGUUUCUUGCUGCACAGGGAUCGUUUUUGUUUAUUGUAGAGAUGCUCUCAUGUAGCAACUGCUGCACAAGAGGGGCUUGUUUCCCUUACAUCAUAUUGAAUGGAUCCUGAAGAAGGUUUGCUAUUACAAGUUAAAAUGAUAAUAGUUUAUUGGAUGCUCUUUGCUAAGUUGUGGUUUUUGUUAAAGCUAAAAUUAGGCCUUCAUUCUGCAGCUUCUUCAGAGGGUGGAGGAAGGAAGCUAAUGGGGAACAUAAACUAUGGCUUCUUACUGCAUGAAAAGCAUAAAAACUGAUUCAGUUGGCUUUUAAAAAAAAAUGCCUUCAGAUUUUUUUCACUCUGUUAUCCUUAAACUCAAGCUUAAAACUAGCCUAUUGCAAGUUUCAUGAUAGUCUAGGUUUGAGAAACAGGCAGGAUGUCUCUGUUAAAACUUUAGUUUCUUCCUAGGCUUCCUUCAUCUUGUGUCCCUUCCAUUUCUACCCUAAAUUCAGAAGCCCUUUCCUUACAAAAGAAACGUACCUGGAAACAGAGUUGCUAAAUUCAAGAGCUGCAAUUAGACGGGAGUCUUAGCACUUAUUGCAAACAGUUCCAACUUCCUAUGAUAGCUAACAAAAUAUCUUCAUAGUGUGCCUAGCAAUGUAACUUUCUUGCUGUUAAUGUUGUAUUAAUUUACACUGGGGUCCACAGCCUGAAUCUUUCCAUGAAUUCUCUGAAGAAGUUGGAUUUCUAGCUGUUCUUAGGAUAAUUGCAGUGUAAGACAAAGAUGUUUAAAAAAAAAAAAAAAAAGGAAAACAACAAAACAACCACUGACUGUAAUUUUAGUGACCGUUGCCUUUACUACAGUUUGCUACUGAACAGUGUAUUGGGAGGGACAUAGGGUGAAUAAAUCUUAGUUUGCAAAGCUCAAGUAGUUGAAAGGAACCAUUUUAGUCUGUGUAGAUCUGUGGGAAUUCACGGCUGUUCCUGUUACCCUGGUGAGCAAAUACUGCCACUUGGGUGUAUUCAAAUAGCCUGUUUGUCAGGUGGAGAGGCUCUUCAUCUGCUAGCACAUAAAAAGCUAACUGAGCUUCUUGGUUUUUGGGACAGAAUGAAGAACUUUUGAAAAAGUGUGCUGAGGACUACUUGGCUAGGAUUAAAAAAGAAGAGCAGCGAUAUCAGGCACUAAAGGCACAUGCAGAGGAGAAGCUGCAGCGAGCAAAUGAGGAAAUUGCCCACAUCCGAAACAAAGCAGAUUCAGAGGCUGCAGCACUACAGGCGAUUCUGCGCAAAGAGCAGAUGAGGAACCAGUCUCUGGAGAGGAGCCUUGAACAAAAGACUAAAGAAAAUGAUGAACUAACGAAAAUCUGUGAUGACUUGAUCUCAAAGAUAGAAAAAAAUUGAUUUCUCGACUGUCUUGUAAAUAUGUUUAGUUUGUCUUGUGUGUUUACUCACUUUUUUAUGUAUGUGGGGAAAAAAAAUAAAAUUUUUGAUUCACACUU